rnacentral:rRNA from 1 species
GCUUGGGACCGGGAGGCUUGAAGGGUACGUCCGGGGUAGGAGUGAAAUCCUGUAAUCCUGGACGGACCGCCGAUGGGGAAACCACUUCAAGAGAACGGAUCCGACAGUGAGGGACGAAAGCUAGGGUCUCGAACCGGAUUAGAUACCCGGGUAGUCCUAGCUGUAAACGAUGCCUGUUAGGUGUGACUCCCACUACGAGUGGGUGUUGUGCCGUAGGGAAGCCGCUAAACAGGCCGCCUGGGAAGUACGUCUGCAAGGAUGAAACUUAAAGGAAUUGGCGGGGGAGCACUACAACCGGAGGAGCCUGCGGUUUAAUUGGACUCAACGCCGGACAUCUCACCAGCAUCGACUGUGGUAAUGACGGUCAGGUUGAUGACCUUACCCGAGCCACAGAGAGGAGGUGCAUGGCCGCCGUCAGCUCGUACCGUGAGGCGUCCUGUUAAGUCAGGCAACGAGCGAGACCCGCAUCCUUACUUGCCAGCAGCACCGCGAGGUGGCUGGGGACAGUAGGGAGACCGCCGUGGCUAACACGGAGGAAGGAACGGGCAACGGUAGGUCAGUAUGCCCCGAAUAUGCUGGGCAACACGCGGGCUACAAUGGCCGAGACAAUGGGUUCCAACGCCGAGAGGCGACGGUAAUCUCAGAAACUCGGUCGUAGUUCGGAUUGUGGACUGAAACUCGUCCACAUGAAGCUGGAUUCGGUAGUAAU